GAUGAACGCUGGCGGCGUGCUUAACACAUGCAAGUCGAACGGUGAAGCCAAGCUUGCUUGGUGGAUCAGUGGCGAACGGGUGAGUAACACGUGAGCAACCUGCCCUGGACACUGGGCUAAGCGCUGGAAACGGCGUCUAAUACUGGAUAUGAGCCUCUUCCGCAUGGUGGGGGUUGGAAAGAUUUUUUGGUCUGGGAUGGGCUCGCGGCCUAUCAGCUCGUUGGUGGGGUAAUGGCUCACCAAGGCGUCGACGGGUAGCCGGCCUGAGAGGGUGACCGGCCACACUGGGACUGAGACACGGCCCAGACUCCUACGGGAGGCAGCAGGGGGGAAUAUUGCACAAUGGGCGGAAGCCAGAUGCAGCAACGCCGCGUGCGGGAUGACGGCCUUCGGGUUGGAAGCCUCUUUUAGCUGGGAAGAAGCGAAAGUGACGGUACCUGGAGAAAAAGCGCCGGCUAACUACGUG
rnacentral:rRNA from 1 species